rnacentral:rRNA from 1 species
AGGAGAGUUUGAUCCUGGCUCAGAACGAACGCUGGCGGCGCGUCUUAAGCAUGCAAGUCGGGCGGGAUUGUGGUGCUUGCACCACAUGAGAGCGGCGGACUGGCGUGGAGCGCGUGGGUGACGCACCCCCCGGACGGGGACAGCCGGCAGAAAUGCCGGGUGAUACCGGAUGAGGUCCCCCUUGUUGGAAGAGGGGGAGGAAAGGGGCUUCGGCCCCGCCGGGGGAGCGGCCCGCGUCCCAUCAGCCUGUAGGCGGUGUAACGGACCACCUAAGCUAUGACGGGUACCCGGACUGAGAGGUCGGACGGGCGCAUUGGGACUGAGAUACGGCCCAGACUCCUACGGGAGGCAGCAGCUAAGAAUAUUCCGCAAUGGGGGGAACCCUGACGGAGCGACGCCGCGUGGGCGAUGGAGGCCGGAAGGUUGUAAAGCCCUUUUAUGCGCGAGGAAUAAGGAGGGGAGGCAAUGCCCCUCCGGUGACUGUAGCGCAUGAAUAAGCGCCGGCUAAUUACGUGCCAGCAGCCGCGGUAACACGUAAGGCGCAAGCGUUGUUCGGAAUCAUUGGGCGUAAAGGGCGUGUAGGCGGCCGCAUAAGUCGGGAGUGAAAGGCGCGGGCUCAACCCGCGGACUGCUCCCGAUACUGUGCGGCUCGAGUCCCCGUGGCGCGGCCGGAAUUCCAGGUGUAGGGGUGAAAUCUGUAGAUAUCUGGAAGAACACCGGUGGCGAAGGCGGGCCGCGAGCGGGAGACUGACGCUGAGGCGCGAAGGUGCGGGUAGCGAACAGGAUUAGAUACCCUGGUAGUCCCCU